rnacentral:rRNA from 1 species
CCUACGGGUGGCAGCAGUGAGGAAUAUUGGUCAAUGGGCGAGAGCCUGAACCAGCCAAGUCGCGUGAGGGAGUACUGCCCUAUGGGUUGUAAACCUCUUUUGUCGGGGAGCAAAAGCCGGACGUGUCCGGCUGUGAGAGUACCCGAAGAAAAAGCAUCGGCUAACUCCGUGCCAGCAGCCGCGGUGAUACGGGGGAUGCGAGCGUUAUCCGGAUUUAUUGGGUGUAAAGGGUGCGCAGGCGGAUUUUUAAGUCAGCGGUAAAAUCGUGGGGCUCAACCCCAUCCAGCCGUUGAAACUGGGGAUCUAGAGUGUGCGAGAGGUAUGCGGAAUGCGUGGUGUAGCGGUGAAAUGCAUAGAUAUCACGCAGAACCCCGAUUGCGAAGGCAGCAUACCGGUGCACAACUGACGCUCAGGCACGAAAGCGUGGGUAUCGAACAGGAUUAGAUACCCUAGUAGUC